rnacentral:rRNA from 1 species
GAUGAACGCUGGCGGCGUGCCUAAUACAUGCAAGUCGAGCGAACGGACGAGAAGCUUGCUUUUCUGAUGUUAGCGGCGGACGGGUGAGUAACACGUGGAUAACCUACCUAUAAGACUGGGAUAACUUCGGGAAACCGGAGCUACUACCGGAUAAUAUUUUGAACCGCAUGGUUCAAAAGUGAAAGACGGUCUUGCUGUCACUUAUAGAUGGAUCCGCGCUGCAUUAGCUAGUUGGUAAGGUAACGGCUUACCAAGGCAACGAUGCAUAGCCGACCUGAGAGGGUGAUCGGCCACACUGGAACUGAGACACGGUCCAGACUCCUACGGGAGGCAGCAGUAGGGAAUAUUCCGCAAUGGGCGAAAGCCUGACGGAGCAACGCCGCGUGAGUGAUGAAGGUCUUCGGAUCGUAAAACUCUGUUAUUAGGGAAGAACAUAUGUGUAAGUAACUGUGCACAUCUUGACGGUACCUAAUCAGAAAGCCACGGCUAACUACGUG